rnacentral:rRNA from 1 species
AUUGAACGCUGGCGGCAGGCUUAACACAUGCAAGUCGAGCGGAGUGAUGGUGCUUGCACUAUCACUUAGCCGCGGACGGGUGAGUAAUGCUUAGGAAUCUGCCUAUUAGAGGGGGACAACAUCUCGAAAGGGAUGCUAAUACCGCAUACGUCCUACGGGAGAAAGCAGGGGAUCACUUGUGACCUUGCGCUAAUAGAUGAGCCUAAGUCGGAUUAGCUAGUUGGUGGGGUAAAGGCCUACCAAGGCGACGAUCUGUAGCAGGUCUGAGAGGAUGAUCCACCACACUGGGACUGAGACACGGCCCAGACUCCUACGGGAGGCAGCAGUGGGGAAUAUUGGACAAUGGGGGGAACCCUGAUCCAGCCAUGCCGCGUGUGUGAAGAAGGCCUUAUGGUUGUAAAGCACUUUAAGCGAGGAGGAGGCUUACCUAGUUAAUACCUGGGAUAAGUGGACGUUACUCGCAGAAUAAGCACCGGCUAACUCUGUGCCAGCCGCCGCCGUAA